UUACGGUCAUAUCAUGUUGAAACACCGGUUUCCGCACGAUCAGCGAAGUUAAGCAACGUCGAGCCUGAUCAGUACCUAGAUGGGUGAUCACUUGGGAAUACCAGGCGCUGGA